AUAAAAAUUAAUUCAAAAAUUUCACUUUUUACAAAAACAAAAAUAUAUAAUCUGUAUAUCUUAACAUUAUCUGUUGAAGGAAAAACUCCUCAUUUGUAAACUCGCGCCUGAGCGCCAGGCUCUACGAGCGCUGCCUGACUUAUGGGCGCUGCAAGCGCGCUGUCGAUUGACUAAUAAAAACUAAAGCCGAUAGAAGGUCUUACGACCAGCGUAGAUCGGGGUGUACGCUCUCUCUCGUACUGCGUGCGUUUUCAUAUAGAUGUGUGUAGCUUGUGUUACUCUAAAUAAACUUCUCAAGUUUUUUUAUCCAGUUGGUCAUAAUCUUAACAGGUUAUGGGCCCAGUACCACGCUAUUGAGAAGUGAACAAAAAGUAUUGAGUGAAAAAUGGAAGCGACGCACUUGAAAAUUGAGAAGCUUUGUGACAAGGAUAACUGGCAUCAAUGGCGGUUUGUGAUUCGUACUCUUCUAGAGGAAGAUCAAGAUGUUCUGGAUGUCUGUGAGGGCAGGCUCGUUUGCCCUGACGCCAAUGAUCAAGAUUCAGCAAGCAAGCUGAAGAAAUUCGAGAAGGCAGACAAAACCGCUCGAAAAUUGAUUGUCACGACAGUCGAGAGGAAGCCGUUGGAUUUGCUGUUGAACUGCACUACAGCAAAGGAAAUGUGGACGAAGUUAUCUUCGGUAUAUGAUUUAAAAUCAGAUGAAAAUUUGUCGCUUGUUCAAAAACAAUUUUUUGAGUUAAAGUGGGACUGCAAUGAAAGCGUUGCGCAUAAUUUAUCGAAGCUUGAGCAGUUGGCAACGAAAAUGAAGAGCCUCGGUGGUGAAAUUCCAAACUCGAUGAUUUUGACACGUGCGCUUUUGGUUCUUCCACAGAAGUUUAAUCACUUUCAUAGUGCGUGGAAUUCCAAAAGUGAUACGAAGAAGACCUUUGAAAAUUUGACGAUGCGAUUAAUGAACGAGGAGGUUCGGCUGCAAAAGCAAGAAAAUUCCGAGGAGACGACGAUUGCUUUAUUCUCAAAGUCAGGAUCGCGAAACACGUCCUCGAAGAACAACAAGUCGAAACAAAAGGAACAAUCGACAAAAGAAAAAGGUGUUGUGUGUUUUUCAUGUGGACAGCGAGGCCAUGUAAAAAAGGAUUGUACGGGCUGUUAUUCUUGUGGAUUAAAGGGGCAUAUAAAGAAAAAUUGUCCAAAACAAAGCAAGAAGACAAGGACGCGAGAGGAAGCAAAUUCUGCGGAACAAGAUGGCGGAACGACCAGGCAGGCGUUUCUCGGAAGUAGUGACGCUGCUGUAAACGAUUUCUGGGUAAUCGACUCGGGCGCAUCAGAUCACAUGACAAGACGACGUGACUGGUUCAGUUUUUACGAAGAAUAUGAAGAACCGUUGAUGGUAAGAGUUGGAAAUGGAGACCGGAUUCCAGCCUACGGGAGAGGUAACAUUGAAAUUGAAACUCUUGUGAAUGGACAAUGGAUUUCGGGUGUCAUUCAAGAUGUUUUGUAUGUACCAUGCUUAAAGCGAAAUUUAUUUUCUGUAAAAGUCGCAGCUAAAAAGGGCGUAAAUUUUUCUCUUACGAAUCAUGGUUCACGUUUUGAAUUAACUCGCGACAAAAAGAUUAUAGCGACGGGCUCGGAUAACGGUGAUUUGUAUAAAAUCAAUCUGCGUGUUUUAAUACCGAAAGAAUGUAAUAUUGUCAGUAAGUUUAGCAAAAUUGAUACUGUAAAAUCAAAAGUGGAUACUUUGCAGUUAUGGCAUGAAAGGCUGUGUCAUCAGGACAAGAGACAUGUUAAAACUUUGUUAAAAAACAUGGGUAUUAAUGUUUUAGAUGUAGAUGAUUUCUGUGACGGCUGUGCUUAUGGCAAGCAUCAUAGGUUAAGUUUUCAUAAUAGAGUUGAACGUGCGACGAGAGUUCGAGAAAUUAUACACACUGACGUGUGUGGUCCUAUGCAACAGGAAUCACUCGGUGGUAAAAGAUAUUCACUAAUUUUUAAGGAUGAAUUUUCGGGUUUUAGAAAAAUUUAUUUUUUGCGAGAAAAGUCAGAAGUUUUUGAAAAACUAAAGAUGUUUUGUAAAGAACUCGAAAAUCAGUUCGGUGAGAUUGUAAGGGAAAUUCACAGCGAUGGUGGUAAGGAAUAUAUAAAUAAAAAUGUUAACAGUUUUUUAAGUAGUAAAGGUAUAAAACACAGUGUGAAUGUUCCUUAUACUCCACAGCAGAACGGCGUUGCAGACGGGAUAACAGAAUCAUUGUUGAAGCAGCACGAUCGAUGAUAUAUGCGAAGUCAGAUUUACCCUUAUCCUUGUGGGCGGAGGCCAUGAAUACAGCAGCAUAUGUCAUUAAUAGAACAGGUCCGACUAAGCAAUCGGGAAGAACUCCAUAUGAGUUAUGGUUUGGUAAGACAGCUAAUAUAAGUAAUUUUAAAAUUUUUGGAACGGAAUGUUUUGUUCACAUACCAAAUGAGAAACGUAGAAAACUUGAUAAAAAGGCAGAGAAAGGAUUUGUAGUUGGUUACAUUGAGGACUGUAAGGGCUAUCGAGUAUAUAUACCAAGUUUAAAAGAUAUAGUUUUGAGUCGUGAUGUUCUGUUCAAAAAGGAAGUGGUAGUUCCUAAUCAAAUCGAAAUAAAGAGUGGGGGAGAGCAAAAUGACACAUACGAUUCUGGGAUUCUUUAUGACAAAGAUUUACAAAAGAACGAAAAAGAAAAAGAAACACAAUGUGAUUGUAAAACAAAACCUGUGCAGUCUUCAAGUAAUGACAACUCAAAUGUAAGACAAUUAAGAGACAGAAAUAAAAUUAAAAAACCAGAGCUCUAUGGUUCUCCAGUUUCAUUUUUUACUGAAAUGCUGCCUGAAAAUUAUAGCGAAGCUAUAAACUCUAAUGAUAAGUGUAACUGGGAAGUAGCUAUGCAUGACGAGAUAAAUUCGUUACUCGAAAAUGAAACAUGGAUGCUCGUAGAAAAACCAGAAACGAAAAAGAUUUUAAAGAGUCGUUGGGUUUAUACAGUUAAAUCGAAUCCUGAUGGUUCAAAGCGACAUAAAGCUCGUUUAGUUAUAAAGGGCUGUUUUCAGACGGAAGGAAUAGAUUAUAAAAAAACGUUUAGCCCAGUAGUACGUUUUGAUACAGUAAGAACUUUAUUGAGUGUAGCGGCCCACGACGGAUUAAAUCUUGCUCAAUUUGAUAUUAAAACCGCUUUUUUAUACGGAUCAUUAAAGGAGGAUAUAUACAUGUAUCAACCCGAGGGUUUUAAUGAUGGUACGGCACGUGUAUGCAAACUAUUAAAGAGUCUAUAUGGACUAAAGCAAGCACCAAGAUGUUGGAUAGAGCAUUUCACGGGUUUUCUCGAAUUUUUUGGUUUUUCAAGGAGCAUAGCAGAUCCAUGUUUUUACAUUUAUAAAAGUGAAAUUGAUAAAAUGUUAUUGGCUGUUUAUGUAGACGAUGGCUGCAACCAACAAACUGCUCAUAGAGAGAUUCUUCCUUGAAUUGCGUAAACAUUUUAAAAUAACCGAGACAAAUAAUGUAACGAGUUUUCUUGGAGUGGAAAUCGUUAAGUUGCCAGAUGGAUCUAUUUUUAUUAACCAAGGAAAAUUUGUUAGAAGAAUGUUAGAGAAAUUUAAUAUGAGUAACGCUAACAUAGUUUCUACUCCAAUUGAAACUGGUUGGGACUUAUCCAGUCCAUGUAAAUUAGAAAAAGAGAUUCCGUAUCGAGAAGCGGUAGGUAACUUAAUGUAUCUGCAAGUAAUUAGCAGAACAGAUAUUAGUUUUGCGGUUAAUAUUGCGUCUAGAGCGUUAGAAAAACCUAGUAUAGCACACUGGUCACUUGUAAAACGUAUUAUGAGAUACCUAAAGGGUACUGCGGACAUUGGAUUGUUGUAUUGUAAGACAGGUGGCUUUGAAGCAUAUAGCGACGCAGAUUUUGCAGGUGAUAAAGAGACUCGAAAAUCGACGUCUGGUAUUCUAUGUAAAAACGCAAACGCAGCGAUUGUUUGGCAAAGUAAACGACAACAAUGUAUCUCUCUGUCUACUACGGAAUCCGAAUAUGUUAGCGCUGCCUCAGCUGUUAAAGAGAUAAUCUGGUUAAAAAGCUUAUUGACUGAAUGUGGAGAUUGCGAUAACGAGGGGUUUUGUUUAUUCAUAGACAACAUGAGUGCAAUAAGAUUAAUUAAAAACCCUGAAUUCCAUCAGAGAAGUAAACAUAUCGAUGUAAAAUUUCAUUUUAUACGCGACAUGUAUGAAAAAGGUGUGAUUAAUGUAAAACAUGUUAGUAGCGAUGAGCAAACUGCAGACAUUUUUACUAAGGCUUUAGCAAAACCGAGAUUUAUAAAUUUACGUUGUAAAUUAGGAUUAAUCACUAAGGAAAAUAUUAAUAAGUCGUUUUUUUUGUAAAAUGUUGAGUUUUGGGGAGAGUGUUGGAGGAAAAACUCCUCAUUUGUAAACUCGCGCCUGAGCGCCAGGCUCUACGAGCGCUGCCUGACUUAUGGGCGCUGCAAGCACGCUGUCGAUUGACUAAUAAAAACUAAAGCCGAUAGAGGGUCUUACGACCAGCGUAGAUCGGGGUGUACGCUCUCUCUCGUACUGCGUGCGUUUUCAUAUAGAUGUGUGUAGCUUGUGUUACUCUAAAUAAACUUCUCAAGUUUUUUUAUCCAGUUGGUCAUAAUCUUAACAUUAUCAAAGGACUGAACAUCAAAAACUUGGCAACCUGUAAUUUAGUCCGUCCAAUCUGCGAUGACUUGCAUGCGAAUGACUGCUCAGUCAUUCAUUAUACAACAACUAGCUGGUAUAGAGUAAUUGUAAUGUAUUUGACAAAUUACGCGAAACGCGACCUUCGAGUUUUGAGAAAAUAAUUCCGAUUUCUGGCAAUACUACUGAGAAGGUAUUAGGUUUGUCGGCUGCGGAUAAGCAAAUGCUAAUUGAACGAGUGACUAUAAUA